CCCUUAGAUGUCCGGGGCCGCACGCGCGCUACACUGAAGGAAUCAGCGUGGCUUUCUCCCUGACCCGAAAGGGUUGGGAAACCCGUUGAAUCUCCUUCGUGAUAGGGAUUGGGGCUUGAAAUUGUUCCCCAUGAACGAGGAAUUCCCAGUAAGCGCGAGUCAUAAGCUCGCGUUGAUUACGUCCCUGCCCUUUGUACACACCGCCCGUCGCUCCUACCGAUUGAAUGAUCCGAUGAAUAUCAUGGAUUGAGGAUGCAAGUAGGUUCACCUAUCUUCAUCUUCGAGAAGUGAAGUAAAUCUUAUCAUUUAGAGGAAGGAGAAGUCGUAACA
rnacentral:rRNA from 1 species